rnacentral:misc_RNA from 1 species
GUAGGUGAACCUGCGGAAGGAUCAUUAACACGUAUCCAACGUUAAAAACCCCCCCCGUGAACCUACAACAUACGUCUCCGCUAACGAUACCCAUGGUUGCAAUCCCUGGUAAAUCAUUGCCGAACAGUUUUGAUUCAGGGACAUCAAGCACGUUAGUGUCCUGAUAAAAGAGGCGCUGCAACAGACGGGUUCCACGACCCCAAGGAGUCAAAAGCUGUCAGCGAGUGGCAAGUGAGGGAGUCAGUCGUGUGUUUGGACGGGUAGACCAUCCCAGGUGGGUCACUGUGGCCGACACGGCCGUGAUGGGAUUCUGGCGUCGUGCCUAUAGGUACGAACUAGCGCCCGACAUGACCUCUUGAAACGACAGGGGCGCAACCGGACCAAUUUUUUAAUCUGCCCCUUACCCUAACAGGUACUCGGGUGUCUAAACGAACAACUGUUAACAAUGGAUAUCUUGGUUCUC